GCGUAUCAGCCAUUUUUUCGCAGACAACAACCCACCAUGCACUGGGACGACACCACUUAGAGCCCAAUCCACUUGGACUCCUGAACCAGAACUAGCCGUAGAACUCGACCUAUAUCGUAAAACUGUCACGCAAGAAAUUC
rnacentral:lncRNA from 1 species